rnacentral:rRNA from 1 species
GGGCCUGCACAAGCGGUGGAGUAUGUGGCUUAAUUCGAUGCAACGCGAAGAACCUUACCUGGCCUUGACAUGCAUCUCUAAGCGUGUGAAAGCACGUGACCCCUCGGGGAAUUUGCACAGGUGCUGCAUGGCUGUCGUCAGCUCGUGUCGUGAGAUGUUGGGUUAAGUCCCGCAACGAGCGCAACCCUUGUGUCCUGUUGCCACUUCCGCUAGCGCGGAAAGCACUCUGGACAGACUGCCUCGUCUCAACGAGGAGGAAGGUGGGGAUGACGUCAAGUCAGUAUGGCCCUUACGGCCAGGGCUGCACACGUACUACAAUGCCUGGUACAAUGGGAAGCAAUACCGUGAGGUGGAGCAAAUCCUCAAAACCAGGCCCAGUUCAGAUUGUAGUCUGCAACUCGACUACAUG